CACGUAGGGUGCGAGCGUUGUCCGGAAUUAUUGGGCGUAAAGAGCUCGUAGGCGGUGUGUCACGUCGAUCGUGAAAACUUUCAGCUUAACUGGGAGCUUGCGGUCGAUACGGGCAUCACUGGAGUUCGGCAGGGGAGACUGGAAUUCAAGGUGUAGCGGUGAAAUGCGCAGAUAUCUUGAGGAACACCGGUGGCGAAGGCGGGUCUCUGGGCCGAUACUGACGCUGAGGAGCGAAAGCGUGGGGAGCAAACGGG
rnacentral:rRNA from 1 species